rnacentral:rRNA from 1 species
UAGGGUUCCUUCUGAUACACAUGCAGUCGAACGAUGAAGCCGCUUCGGUGGUGGAUUAGUGGCGAACGGGUGAGUAACACGUGGGCAAUCUGCCCUGCACUCUGGGACAAGCCCUGGAAACGGGGUCUAAUACCGGAUACGACACAGGAAGGCAUCUUCUCUGUGUGGAAAGCUCCGGCGGUGCAGGAUGAGCCCGCGGCCUAUCAGCUUGUUGGUGGGGUGAUGGCCUACCAAGGCGACGACGGGUAGCCGGCCUGAGAGGGCGACCGGCCACACUGGGACUGAGACACGGCCCAGACUCCUACGGGAGGCAGCAGUGGGGAAUAUUGCACAAUGGGCGAAAGCCUGAUGCAGCGACGCCGCGUGAGGGAUGACGGCCUUCGGGUUGUAAACCUCUUUCAGCAGGGAAGAAGCGCAAGUGACGGUACCUGCAGAAGAAGCACCGGCUAACUACGUGCCAGCAGCCGCGGUAAUACGUAGGGUGCGAGCGUUGUCCGGAAUUAUUGGGCGUAAAGAGCUCGUAGGCGGCUUGUCACGUCGGAUGUGAAAGCCCGGGGCUUAACCCCGGGUCUGCAUUCGAUACGGGCAGGCUAGAGUUCGGUAGGGGAGAUCGGAAUUCCUGGUGUAGCGGUGAAAUGCGCAGAUAUCAGGAGGAACACCGGUGGCGAAGGCGGAUCUCUGGGCCGAUACUGACGCUGAGGAGCGAAAGCGUGGGGAGCGAACAGGAUUAGAUACCCUGGUAGUCCACGCCGUAAACGUUGGGAACUAGGUGUGGGCGACAUUCCACGUCGUCCGUGCCGCAGCUAACGCAUUAAGUUCCCCGCCUGGGGAGUACGGCCGCAAGGCUAAAACUCAAAGGAAUUGACGGGGCCCGCACAAGCGGCGGAGCAUGUGGCUUAAUUCGACGCACGCGAGACCUUACCAAGGCUUGACAUACAUCGGAAAGCCGUAGAGAUACGCCCCCUUGUGGUCGUGUACAGUGUGCAUGCUGUCGUCAGCUCGUGUCGUGAGAUGUGGUAGUCCCGCACGAGCGCACCCUUAUCUGUGUGCAGCAUGCUUUCGGGUGAUGGGGACUCACAGGAGACUGGCCGGGUCCACUCGAGAAGUUGACCACCGUCAAGUUACUCAUGCCUUAUAUGUCUUGGGCUGGCACACGUGGU